rnacentral:rRNA from 1 species
GAUGAACGCUGGCGGUAUGCAUAACACAUGCAAGUCGAACGAAGCCUUUCGGGGCUUAGUGGCGGACGGGUGAGUAACGCGUGAGAAUCUGGCCUUAGGUCUGGGACAACCACUGGAAACGGUGGCUAAUACCGGAUGUGCCCGUAAUUGGGUGAAAGGUUAACUGCCUGAAGAUGAGCUCGCGUCUGAUUAGCUAGUAGGUAGUGUAAUGGACUACCUAGGCGACGAUCAGUAGCUGGUCUGAGAGGACGAUCAGCCACACUGGGACUGAGACACGGCCCAGACUCCUACGGGAGGCAGCAGUGGGGAAUUUUCCGCAAUGGGCGAAAGCCUGACGGAGCAAUACCGCGUGAGGGAGGAAGGCUCUUGGGUCGUAAACCUCUUUUCUCAGGGAAGAACACAAUGACGGUACCUGAGGAAUAAGCAUCGGCUAACUCCGUGCCAGCAGCCGCGGUAAUACGGAGGAUGCAAGCGUUAUCCGGAAUGAUUGGGCGUAAAGCGUCCGCAGGUGGCGAUGUAAGUCUGCUGUUAAAGAGUCUAGCUCAACUAGAUAAGAGCAGUGGAAACUACAUAGCUAGAGUACGUUCGGGGCAGAGGGAAUUCCUGGUGUAGCGGUGAAAUGCGUAGAGAUCAGGAAGAACACCAGUGGCGAAGGCGCUCUGCUAGGCCGUAACUGACACUGAGGGACGAAAGCUAGGGGAGCGAAUGGGAUUAGAUACCCCAGUAGUCCUAGCCGUAAACGAUGGAUACUAGGCGUGGCUUGUAUCGACCCGAGCCGUGCCGUAGCUAACGCGUUAAGUAUCCCGCCUGGGGAGUACGCCGGCAACGGUGAAACUCAAAGGAAUUGACGGGGGCCCGCACAAGCGGUGGAGUAUGUGGUUUAAUUCGAUGCAACGCAAAGAACCUUACCAAGGCUUGACAUGUCGCGAAUCCUGGUGAAAGCCGGGAGUGCCUUCGGGAGCGCGAACACAGGUGGUGCAUGGCUGUCGUCAGCUCGUGUCGUGAGAUGUUGGGUUAAGUCCCGCAACGAGCGCAACCCUCGUUUUUAGUUGCCAGCAUUAAGUUGGGCACUCUAGAGAGACUGCCGGUGACAAACCGGAGGAAGGUGGGGAUGACGUCAAGUCAGCAUGCCCCUUACGCCUUGGGCUACACACGUACUACAAUGCUCCGGACAGAGGGCAGCAAGCAUGCGAAUGCAAGCAAAUCCCGGAAACCGGAGCUCAGUUCAGAUCGCAGGCUGCAACUCGCCUGCGUGAAGGAGGAAUCGGUAGUAAUUGCAGGUCAGCAUACUGCAGUGAAUUCGUUCCCGGGCCUUGUACACACCGCCCGUCACACCAUGGAAGCUGGUAGUGCCCGAAGUCAUUACUCCAACCAUUCGUGGAGGAGGAUGCCUAAGGCAGGACUGGUGACUGGGGUGAAGUCGUAACAAGGUAGCCGUACCGGAAGGUGUGGGCUGGAUCACCUCCUU